rnacentral:rRNA from 1 species
GCCCAGCAGAAGGACCGGCGAAC